rnacentral:tRNA from 1 species
AUUUACAUAAUAUAAAUAUUAUAUUUAACUUCCAAUUAAAAAAUCUAGAAAUAGUGUAAAUA